rnacentral:rRNA from 1 species
AAGCUAACAUGCACGAACUACGUGCUGUGGCGCACGCAGGUCACUCCCCAUCCACGUGGCGCCGGUGUCUUCGGCUACGUCGACGGCACCACGCCAGAGCCGGCCAGGCUUCAUGUCACCAAGGACAAGGAUGGCAAAGUAAGCUCUGUGCCCAACCCUCUCCACAUCUAGGUCAGGGAGGACCAGCAGGUGUUGGGCUACUUGCUCAGCACCCUCUCCAAGGAGGUGCUCGUCACGGUGACCACGGUC